AACGUAGGAGACAAACGUUAUCCGGAGUUACUGGGCGUAAAGGGCGUGUAGGUGGUUUUGUAAGUCUGGCGUGAAAUUUUUCGGCUUAACCGGGAAAGGUCGUCGGAUACUGCAAGGCUAGAGGACGGUAGAGGCGUGUGGAAUUCCGGGUGUAGUGGUGAAAUGCGUAGAGAUCGGGAGGAACACCGGCGGCGAAGGCGGCUGCCUGGACCGGCCCUGACGCUGAGGCGCGAAAGCUAGGGGAGCAAACAGG
rnacentral:rRNA from 1 species